rnacentral:rRNA from 1 species
ACAUCCAGCGAACUUGGCAGAGAUGCCUUGGUGCCUUCGGGAACGCUGAGACAGGUGCUGCAUGGCUGUCGUCAGCUCGUGUUGUGAAAUGUUGGGUUAAGUCCCGNAACGAGCGCAACCCUUAUCCUUUGUUGCCAGCGAUUCGGUCGGGAACUCAAAGGAGACUGCCGGUGAUAAACCGGAGGAAGGUGGGGAUGACGUCAAGUCAUCAUGGCCCUUACGAGUAGGGCUACACACGUGCUACAAUGGCGCAUACAAAGAGAAGCGACCUCGCGAGAGCAAGCGGACCUCAUAAAGUGCGUCGUAGUCCGGAUCGGAGUCUGCAACUCGACUCCGUGAAGUCGGAAUCGCUAGUAAUCGUGGAUCAGAAUGCCACGGUGAAUACGUUCCCGGGCCUUGUACACACCGCCCGUCACACCGAUGGGAGUGGGUUGCAAAAGAAGUAGGUAGCUUAACCUUCGGGAGGGCGCUUACCACUUUGUGAUUCAUGACUGGGGUGAAGUCGUAACAAGGUAAGCGUAGCGAG